GCCUGAGAGGGAUGACCUGGAACGCCUCGUUCUCAUUGGCCAGCCUAAUAAAGGGGAGGAGCACCACUGAAUAGACACACAGCACCAGGUAACGGUCUGCGGAUGUUAUGACGAUGAUGAGGAAGAAGAAAAGGCUGUUGCCAGCUGAUUGCACUAGAGAGGAGAUCCACCAAUAGGAUCGCAGUGUGGAUGCCCUGUAUGUAUGCGUUUGAGGUCCAUGAGGCAGGAAGUGCGUGUCAGAGUUACCCUCUACAGGUGAUACAGCACUGUUUCUGGAUGGACCUGAGGGAGCAUCGGCCCAGCAGCUUCAGCUUGUCACAGAACCGAGACGACAUGCUGUUCUUCCUACACAGCGGACCUACACGAUCACAACGCAGGAGAGGACAGGACAGACCACUGGCUUAGUUCAACUGCAAUAUACGGUACGUCGAUCAACAGCAUACAUCUCAAACAAAUAUAGCUUCAGUAGGAACUAUUUCUUUAUCUUAUGGUGAAAUGUCCUUGCUAAAUAGCCAACAGGGAGGGAUGGGUGUUUGUCUUACCGGUGUUAGUCUGACACUCCUGCAUGUGGCAUUUCCUGAGUGUGUCAGGCCUGCUGCUCGGCUCACACAGACUGUUCUCCACAGAGUCGAAGUCCUCAACAAUACACCGCACCACACGAUGCUGCAACCCCUCACCACAACUCACAGAGCACUGACACACACACACAGAGAAGACCACCGACAUUACUAACACACACAGACACACUAGUCCCCACUGACAAAUCGCACCAUGCAACGCACACUCUGAACAUGCAACAGUCACAGAGUCUGCACAUACUGUAGGGAAAUAAAUAUGCUGCAAGUCAUGAACUGUAAGUAAAUAUGUUCCCCGGGAACCUUUACCUCCUCCCAGUCCUGUGGGUCCCAGUAGCUGCAGGGCUGCAGGUUGCAGGUCUCUGUGUCGUUUGGCCUCUGGGUGGCGCUACAGCGCUGCGGCUCAGGGCAGUAUACCAGCCGCUCCCUCAAUCCACCACUACAGCUACGUGAGCACUGGCGAUGAAAGGAGUUCAUAUCUACAAUCAUAUUCAAACUCAUUUAUUCUUAUUAAUACUAGAAAAUAGCAUAUGGACCAAAGCCAGUCAGCAUGUGUCAAUAUAUGUGUGUCUGUGUCUGUGUGUGUGUAUAUGUACCUGUCCCCAGGGGGAGGUUCUCCAGGGCUGGCAGGGUUGGAGACGACAGGACAGGGUGCUGGGCGGCCUGGAGGACAGGACUUGGCAGUGGAACGGUCUCAGUGGACGCCCCUUCUGCUCGUCCACACACUGCACCUCACGCUGCCUCCUCCCCGCCACCUCACACCCCUUCGGACACUACAGAGAGAGGGAGAGAGAGGGAGGGAGAGAGAGAGGGAGAGAGAGAAAGAGAGAGAGAGAGAGAGAGAGAGAGAGAAAAGAGAGAGAGAGAGAGAGAGGGAGAGGGAGAGGGAGAGAGUUAGUAUAAUACCUUAUCUGUUCUUCUUAUUAUGUGAGUUGUAGGUUUUUAUUUUAGAGUGGUCGCAUUUCAUAUGGCUAUUCAAUAAUGUCACUAAUACACAUUUCAUAAGGCUAUUCAAUAAUGUCACUAAUACACAUUUCAUAUGGCUAUUCAAUAAUGUCACUAAUAGACAUUUCAUAUGGCUAUUCAAUAAUGUCAGUAAUACACAUUUCAUAGGGCUAUUCAAUAAUGUCACUAAUACACAUUUCAUAUGGCUAUUCAAUAAUGUCACUAAUACACAUUUCAUAGGGCUAUUCAAUAAUGUCACUAAUACACUUGCUUCUGCUGUAGCUGACGUGUUGCUGGCAAGUUGUAGAAACUUGUAGAAAAGUUACCCACAGGAUUGUGGGUAAAACUCCCCGGGACCAGCCAUAUGUAAAAUGUAUGCACACAUGACUAAGCCGCUUUGGAUAAAAGCGUCUGCUAAAUGUCAUAUUAUUAUUAGAUGAGCUAUAGAAAGCAGAGACAGCCAGGUACAGUGUAUCCAGGCUACUGACCUUGCUCCAGUCGCCACUCAGCCAGGUGGCACAGGGGCGCAGGUGGCAGGUGCGAGCUGGUUCUGGUCUCUUCAGGUUGGCACAGUCCGAUUCCUGCUGGGAGCUACACAGCACUGGCCUCCACACUGCCCCCAGGCCACACGACGUUGAGCACUGGCCCAGACAACAGGUGAGAGAGGAAGACAGAAAGUAUGUAGUACAGCAUAGAAACAUUUCUGCCUUGGGAUUGUUCACUACAAGGGUGUUGAUUGUUACAUUAGCGAUUUUAAUAACCAAAAUGCAUUGUAUGAUUAUAGCAGGGAUGGGCAACUGGCUGUCCACCCCACCUUUUGAAGGCCUUCGGGUCAAUUCCCACACCCCCAGAAAUAAAUCAAUUAUACAAAUAAAACAAAUGUAGCAACUCAGUCGGUGUCUCAACGUACUGUUGUGAGUUAGAAUAGUAGAAUACGUAAGGUCCCAUUUAGAAACGUGUCAGCAGUUUUUCAGUCACUGACAGUCAGUCAAUUAGCCCAUGUCAACUAAAUCUUUUUUAGAUUGCUAAGUUAGUUUAGUGGCCAGCUAUUUAAACUUGUUAUCAUGGUCGAAUUACUGGCCGGGGGGCCCCCGUUGAUUUUAUUAGCCAGUUUCACUCAGGUAUCAUAUUUAAAAUGGCAACCUAUAGCAAAAUGUUUAGAAUUGCAUGAAAUUUGUUAUACAAUUGCAAAAUCUUAUUUUCGCCUCAUGUAAAAAUGUGUAGAAUUGCAGCAAACUUGCUUUAAAACUGCAAACAUUUUCUCUACAGCCCAUGGCAAAAAUGUGUAGAUUUGCACGAAAUUAACUAUGGUAUGGGCGUGGGUAUGCAGAUCCACCAGCAACUGCGGCCCCUCAUGAUGAGUUCAGAUUUUUUUGUGACCCCCAUCCCCAUCAAAGUUGCCCAACCCUGGCCUAUAGGGUCAUCAACAAGCUCAUAAACACAGAGGGUUAUUUUUGUCUGUACUCACCUCGCUCCAAUUACCCACCAACCAGAACACCUCCAUGCUGAUUGGCUCUUGGGCAUUCAGGUAGCCAUAAUCACUGGCGAAGGUCACUACGGGACUUCCUGGUCUCUGCUCCUGACCUUUGCCCUUUGAACGUGGGCCUGGCUUUUUAGAACUGGGAGCAGGGCUGCCACUCUUGGGGGUCUCAAUGGGCUUCUUCCGUUUAAUGAUCCUCACAGUGGGACCGGGGGCAUCUGGGGUUGGGCUGCUGAAAUACGGGGCAUCGCUAGUGUGGAAAAUGCCUUCUGUAUUGGGAUACAGUCCUUGUGUAGUGUGGUAAGGUGCUAUAAGUGUACUCCUCAUCUCCGCUGUGUGUGCCCGGGGUAUAGGGGUGGUGUGGGGCACCCUAGUUGUCCGUUUGGUGAAAGGGUUGAUAGAAGGGGUGGUGUUGGGGGGAGUGAGGGUGUAGAGGCUGGUGUUCAUAGCCCAGUGCGCAGUGCUGGUUUGUGGGGUUGAGGGGGAGGUAGUGAGGGGUACUCUGGUUGUGUGUUGGGUUGUACGUGAUGUUGUUGGGACACUUGUGUGUGGUAUGUGUGGUGUGGAUGUAGGGUGUAACCUGGCGGUGGUCACGGUAGGCGGUGAUUGGAUGGGGGUCCUGAGAGAGGAUUCCGUGGUAAAAAUGUCCAGAUCUGUAAGCCCCUCCUCUUCUGCAGUCACAUCCUCCACUACAUAGUCAUACCCCGGGGUGUACGUAACCCCCACAUCUGGAAACACAAAAUCAGCUGCACUCCCCUCCUUUUUCUCAUCCUCCUCUUCUUUCUCUCUCAUGUCCCUCUCCCUGUUCUCCGUGUCAGUAGGACUGGUCGUAAUAAAUGCCCCGUCCUUGUCCUCCACACGCCCAUUCUUCACCACAUGAUCAUCGACGUCAAUGAUAUCAGUGGCUGUGGAGGACCGUGGGAGGGGCUUGGUGGUAGAGGUGGUGAUGGGGGUUGUAGUUCUCUCAGUCACUGUAACAGUGCUGGUCCCGGGUGUAGCGUUGCUGGUGCUUUUGGGGCCCCAGGUGUGUGUAACUGGCUGCCUGGUUGGGUGUCUCUUGGGCAGGUAGAAACGGCGGUAUUUAGGGGGUGGUCCCGGGCGCCGUCGGAGGCCUGCGCUUGGGCAGCUCUGCAGGGCACACAGCGACUUGGAGCGAGGCAUGGUUUUGAUGUCACACUUUUUUAGGGGUGCGGUCAGGCAGGUGACCGUCCGGGUGCGCACACUACCACCACAUGUCACUGGGCACUGAGAGAGAGAGAGAUUAAAUAGGUUAUUAACACAACAAGGAGAGAGAGAGAGGGAUUAAAUAGGUUAUUAACACAACAAGGAGAGAGAUUAAAUAGGUUAUUAACACAACAAGGAGAGAGAGAUUAAAUAGGUUAUUAACACAACAAGGAGAGAGAGAGAGAGAUUAAAUAGGUUAUUAACACAACAAUGAGAGAGAUAAAUUAAAUAGGUUAUUAACAGAACAAUGGGAGAGAGAGAGAUUAAAUAGGUUAUUAACAGAACAAGGAAAGAGAGAGAUUAAAUAGGUUAUUAACAGAACAAGGAGAGAAAGAUUAAAUAGGCUAUUAACAGAACGGGGAGAGAGAGAGAUUAAAUAGGUUAUUAACAGAACAAGGAGAGAGAGAUUAAAUAGGUUAUUAACAGAACAAGGAGAGAAAGAUUAAAUAUGUUAUUAACAGAACAAGGAGAGAGAGAGAGAUUAAAUAGGUUAUUAACAGAACAAGGAGAGAUUAAAUAGGUUAUUAACAGAACAAGGAGAACGAGAUUAAAUAGGUUAUUAACAGAACAAGGAGAGAGAGAGAGACUAAAUAGGUUAUUAACAGAACAAGGAGAGAGAGAGAGACUAAAUAGGUUAUUAACAGAACAAGGAGAGAGAGAUUAAAUAGGUUAUUAACAGAACAAGGAGAGAGAGAUUAAAUAGGUUAUUAACAGAACAAGGAGCGAGAUUAAAGAGGUUAUUAACUUGAACAAGGAGAGAUAGAGAGAGUGGCAGAGAAUGGUAGAGAAAGGAGAAGAGAAUAGUACCAUGCUCCAGUUGCCCGCGGCCCAGUCGGGUCCACAGAGCUGGUCUCUGUUGCAGGGAACUACAGGUUUGGGUUUGAGCAGCUGUUUACAGUCCCCAGGGUGGAGCACCCUCUCCUCCCCGGCCACCGUGCGCACACACAGCACUGUGCGAUUCCUCACCCCUCCCGAACCACAGGUGGCAGAGCACAGCUGCCAGCCCCCCACCCACCACCUACACAGGGGGAGAGGGGAGAGAGUGUGAGACAAGGGCCCUGAACAAAUUUGCGUUGGUCUGAUUUGCUUCGGAAAUGAAUAGCUGUCAAAAGACAACAGGGCCAACAGUCAUAACAGACACUAAUAACACCUGUUGAGUUACAGAGCUUUUUAACUGUAUUUAUUUGAGAUCAGCAUUAAUAUUGCAGAUAGAUUGUGGGUUCCAUCAGUUUAAUUGUUUGCGUAAUUUCUAAUCACAUUUAUUUACAUGUUUUAUUUAUACUCCCCUCCAACCCUACCAUCCCUACCCUGAUUGGAGUAAACUAACGGACAACAAUUACUGCUACUUACAGCUAUUUCCGCUCACAUCUAUGGUACCUGUAGUUAAAUAAUUAUACAUAUAUUCCUAAUUUCCUAUUUCUUCAAGUACUGGAUUUUCACCCACAGUGACCAAUCCACCAUUCAUUCUGAUUUUAACUCCAACCCUCCCGAUGUCCACAGACGAACCCAUCUUUCCCAGUAUUAUGUCAUUUUGUUAUUUCAUUUUUAAUACAUUCCUCCAUUUUACUAUGAUGUCUUAUUAGGGUAGUGAACCUCCUUAUUUGUAACAUUACCGAUAUUGCCCUAAAAAUAAAUACUUUACCCAAGAGUAUAAUGACAUUUCCCAUUGACGGAUCAUUGGUUUUUCGGAUCCCGUAACAAUACAGUCUGCAUGUUGAUCUGAACCCUGAUAUUAUGACAUAACAACCAUGUCUGGACCUGACUCUGCAGAGUCUGCACAAGGCUGACUGUUCAAUGCCCCAUAUAUUGAACAUUAUUUUUGUAGCAAGUAUUUUAUAUAAUAGCGUAAAUUAAAACAAAUGGAAUUGUGUCAAUUGUUGAUUUAUAUGUCAGUUCAUAGACGUGUUGCCAAGGUAUGAGAAUAUCAAAGACCUGUUCCCAACUGACUUGAAUGUUAUACAGCAUGCUAAUUAUGCUAAUCAUUUUUAGCCAUUUAUGAUUUUUAAUGGGUGUCAGAGAGACAAAUUAUUUAAUUCCUUCUUUAAGUAACGGUCUCUUCCAAUUUUGUGGCAGAGCAGCUACCAAUCAAUCAAAUGUAUUUAUAAAGCCCUUUUUACAUCAGCAGAUAUCACAGUGUUUAUACAGAAACUCAGCCUUAAACCCCAAAGAGCAAGCUAUGUAGAUGAGUUGAUUAUAAUGUAUUGAGCAUACACAUCUAUACACUGUUGUUAGUUGCUUGUAUGACAUCAUUUUACCGUCCUUGUUUAAUAAAAUGUUCUUCAUAAAUAUUA